UAUCACUUAUGAGCAUAUCUGGAGUUCAACAGUCAAAGUGAUCAAUGGGAGGGAAUGGCCAGAAAAGUUGCUACUUUUUAUACCAGGCAAUGGCUGCGUUCAAGGCACAUAUUUGCUGAUCCCCAAUCUUGGGAAUUCUUCAGGUGAAAUUCAAAACUGGCUCUACAGACAGAGAGAAGGGAGAGACCAAAGGAAGAGGCUGACCAUUUCAGAUUGGUGUUUUCCUACCACUGGGAUUGUUGUGGAGCCCUCAUGACAAGCUAAUAAAGCUCAGUUCCAGUAGUGAUUUUGUGGAUAACUGGACCAAGCAUGGAGACAUCCAGUAGCAACAUCAAAGAGGCAAUUUUUUUUGCACAAAUACAGUACAGAGCUAUUUGAACUUGAAGAUCAUUGGCAUAUAUGUGGUGAUUGGAUUGUGGAUGAAGUUGCCUAGACAGAGGACAUACGGAAGAUGAGGAUCUAGAAGGAAGCUGCAAGAAGCCCUACAUUUCACGGCCAAUUGGAAGAGAAGAACUUGCAGAGCGGAUAGAAAGGAAGCAGGGGACAUUUGGCACUUUCUGCUUUGUAACUCAGCAGAUUUGGAG